CCUCUGACGUUAGCGGCGGACGGGUGAGUAACACGUGGAUAACCUACCUAUAAGACUGGGAUAACUUCGGGAAACCGGAGCUAAUACCGGAUAACAUGUUGAACCGCAUGGUUCAACAGUGAAAGACGGUCUUGCUGUCACUUAUAGAUGGAUCCGCGCCGCAUUAGCUAGUUGGUAAGGUAACGGCUUACCAAGGCAACGAUGCGUAGCCGACCUGAGAGGGUGAUCGGCCACACUGGAACUGAGACACGGUCCAGACUCCUACGGGAGGCAGCAGUAGGGAAUCUUCCGCAAUGGGCGAAAGCCUGACGGAGCAACGCCGCGUGAGUGAAGAAGGUCUUCGGAUCGUAAAACUCUGUUAUUAGGGAAGAACAAAUGUGUAAGUAACUAUGCACGUCUUGACGGUACCUAAUCAGAAAGCCACGGCUAACUACGUGCCAGCAGCCGCGGUAAUACGUAGGUGGCAAGCGUUAUCCGGAAUUAUUGGGCGUAAAGCGCGCGUAGGCGGUUUUUUAAGUCUGAUGUGAAAGCCCACGGCUCAACCGUGGAGGGUCAUUGGAAACUGGAAAACUUGAGUGCAGAAAAGGAAAGUGGAAUUCCAUGUGUAGCGGUGAAAUGCGCAGAGAUAUGGAGGAACACCAGUGGCGAAGGCGACUUUCUGGUCUGUAACUGACGCUGAUGUGCGAAAGCGUGGGGAUCAAACAGGAUUAGAUACCCUUGGUAGUCCACCGCCGUAAACGAUGAGUUGCUAAGUGUUAAGGGGGUUUCCCCCCCCUUAUUGGUUGCACCUAAAGGUUUUAAGGUCUCCGGCUGGGGGAUUACGAACCCAAGGGUUGGAACUCCAAAGGAAUU
rnacentral:rRNA from 1 species